GACGAACGCUGGCGGCGUGCCUAAUACAUGCAAGUCGAACGCUUUUUCUUUCACCGGAGCUUGCUCCACCGAAAGAAAAAGAGUGGCGAACGGGUGAGUAACACGUGGGUAACCUGCCCAUCAGAAGGGGAUAACACUUGGAAACAGGUGCUAAUACCGUAUAACACUAUUUUCCGCAUGGAAGAAAGUUGAAAGGCGC
rnacentral:rRNA from 1 species